GCAUGUUUUUCCUCCUCCAGGAGACAUUCCUCCGCGGAUCAGACCAUGCUCCUUCCACAUUGAAAGCCUGUGCUCACACUUUGAAUAUGUUGACUGAAAGACCUUCAUGAGCCGGACACGCUCCUUGGUGUUACACUUGCAGGAGUUGCCGAUGGAGGCCUGCAGUACUCUCGGAGUUGUUGGCAGCUUUAAAGGUUCUGGAGGCUACCUACAUUCCUUGACUCAUGGCCAUGCAUAAAUCUCACCUUUGUUUCUGCUGUUCCAUCUCCUUCUUCAACUGACCUUUCUGCCUCCCUCUUAUAACGACUCUCAUGGUUACAUUGGGCCCACCCAGAUCGUCAAGAAUACCCUCCCCAUCUCAAGAUCAGUAACUUGAGCACAUUGGAAAAGUCUUUUUAUGCUAUGUAAGGAUCAUGAAAGUGGGGCCCUAAUCUGGUAGGACUGUGUCGUUGUAACAAGUGGAAGAGACACUACAAGCAUGUAUACAUGGAAGAAAAACCACGUGAGGACACAGCCAUCUACAAGCCAAGGAAAGAGGCUUUAAGAGAAAUCAACUAGCUAACACCUUAAUCUUGAACUUCCCGUCUCCAUAAUUGUGAAAAAAUAAAUUUAUGUUCUUGAAGCCACC
rnacentral:lncRNA from 1 species